ACCCCCUCGAGUCAGAGUGAAGGUGUGAUGCUGAAAAACGAUAAGAAACUAUAUGUAUCUCGUGGAUCUGCCAGUACCAGCCUUCCAAAUGAAACUCUUUCAGAGUUAGAGACACCUGGGAAAUACUCACUUACACCACCAAACCACUGGGGCCACCCACAUCGAUACCUGCAGCAUCUUUAGUCAAGUUGGAGGAGAAAGACAACACUUGGUCUAAGACACGGCAGCAAGACAUCCCUGCAUAUUGUUCCAGAUAAAAAUGAAAGCUGCUCACACCCACUUGCCUCCCCAAUCUGUUAAACAGCUUCGUGUCUAGUAUGAGCUCAGUACUUGCCCUGUGAAAAUCCCAGAAGCCCCCGCUGUCAAUGUUCCCCAUCCACACCCUGCUUGCUCCUGUGUAACAGCUCAGAUGAUGAAUAAUAAUAAAACUGUACUUUUUUGGAUGGUGCUA
rnacentral:lncRNA from 10 species